AUUGAACGCUGGCGGCAGGCCUAACACAUGCAAGUCGAGCGAGCGGCGGACGGGUGAGUAAUGUAUGGGGACUGCCCGAUAGAGGGGGAUAACUACUGGAAACGGUAGCUAAUACCGCAUACUAUCGGAUAACCCAUAUGGGAUUAGCUAGUUGGUGUGGUAAUGGCUCACCAAGGCGACGAUCCCUAGCUGGUCUGAGAGGAUGAUCCGCCACACUGGGACUGAGAAACGGCCAAGACUCCGACGGAGGCAGCAGUGGGAAAGAUUGCGCAAUGGGGGCAACCCUGACGCAGCCAUGCCGCGUGAAUGAAGAAGCCCUUCGGGUUGUAAAGUUCUUUCGGUAGCGAGGCGUUAACUACAGAAGAAGCACCGGCUAACUCCGUGCCAGCAGCCGCGGUAAUAC
rnacentral:rRNA from 1 species